UUCCUCUUUCUUUUUUUUUUUUUUUUUUUUUUUUUCCCUGUUAGUUAACUUAAUUAAUAUCUUGUGUUUUCUAGGAGUUUUUCCUGCCCCUCCCAUCAUUACCCUGAUUAUUUAAAACUUGAGCACCUGUGUUGUAAUAAGUUAGGAGUUUUCAGUUGGUGGACUUUGGGAACUUGCAGAUAAAAGUAGUUAGGAAAAGAUAAGUUGGGCCGUGGGAUGUUUGUUACAAAUGUGCAGGGGCUCCUAUGCUGCCUGUCUCUUUGAAAGAGAUUUUUUGAGAACUAAGUGACUGUUGAAAAGGUCUUUGCUAAACUCUGUAAGCAGCCAAAUUUUAGGGAGUACUUACAAUGCAAAAUAGCAUAAGGUGGAAUGAAAAUUAAUUUUUCUCUAGCAACUUGAUCCACUUUACUAAAAAGCCACAGAAGGCAGGUGCAUGGAGGACAUUCAGAAAAGGAAGAACAAGUUAAAAACUGGCAAUAAUGGGCAGGCCAUGUAAUAUUUCCCUUUCUAUUCACUUAAUUAUUUAAAAGUAUGCUAAAAAUUCCAUGUAUGACAGAAGAAGAUGUACUCACUUUUAUGCUGCUGGAAAGAAAAAGUUUUGUAUGGAACCGGAGUGGGAGUAAAAAAAACAAGAGCCCAUUGUGUUUUGGAGGCAAAUCAGACAAGCUCUCUUUAGUCAUGUUAUUUUUCGGACCUUGUGUGCUGGAGGAUUGGAGAAUGGUUUUCUGGGGGAUCUGCUGCAGAGAUGACUUGUACACGCACCUCAGAGUUACAAAGACAAGUAUGGGAAUAUGAUUUUUUUGUUGUUGCACUGAGAUUGUGAGCCUAAUUCCCCUCUGCUAUGCAACUCUCAUUUGAUUUUACCUGGAGAACAGGGUCAGUAACACCAGUUCUGGGAACAUUUUGUGAUGAUACAUUAAUGUAAAGCUGUUGUAAUCUAAUUCUGCUUGAUAAUAUCCCAGUGAUACAGCACAGAUGAGAUGUGAAGAAUAAUAAGGACCAGAAACUUAAUGAAAUUUUGAAAAUAUUCAUAGGAAGAUCUGUUCAGAAAACUGAGAGCCAUAUGAGAGAGCCGUAGUGAGUUGUAAGUUAAAUUUAGUCAGUGUGAAUUGAUGUAGAUUCUCAAAGACAGACGAGAUUCAAGGAGUCCUUAAUUUUUGCCCUGGUAUAUAAGAAAUUAGGCAAAUUGGCAACAUCUCUAACUUCCUAAGAAUAUCACCAAAGCAAGUAGAGAUGUGGCAUCAACAGUGUUGUCAAAGCAGCUAAGUUUUGCACGGUGUUACUUUGAGUCUUUGGUAUAUUAUGCCAAAAACCAAGACGUGUAGCAGUAAGAAUUUCUUUUUCCUUAGCCCCUGGAAACACAACUUUGCUGUGGUGUGCUUUAAGGGAUACCACCAUAGUGUUUCUACUGUAAAUUGUCUUUUAACAUUCUGAUUAUAGACAAAACAAUGAUGUUCCCUAGCUAAUAUUUGUACCUAUUUCUCGUGUUAUAAAAAUGCCAAACCAGAGUGAGAUCUGAGGGAACACGAAAGCUGGACUUUUCUGUGAGCAGUAAAGCAAACUGUAGAAUACUGAAGUUAGAAGUGCUGUGAACACAAGGCUACCAAGAAGAAAAGAAUCGUCAUUUGAAGCCAGUGGCAGCAAAACUCCCCCUGUGUUAGAGUGAUACCCUGUUCCUGUGCCAGUUUCAUUGACUUCUGUACAUUAACAUGAAUUAAAAUGAAUUAACACUGCC